rnacentral:rRNA from 1 species
GAUGAACGCUGGCGGCGUGCCUAAUACAUGCAAGUCGAGCGAACAGACGAGGAGCUUGCUCCUCUGACGUUAGCGGCGGACGGGUGAGUAACACGUGGAUAACCUACCUAUAAGACUGGGAUAACUUCGGGAAACCGGAGCUAAUACCGGAUAAUAUAUUGAACCGCAUGGUUCAAUAGUGAAAGACGGUUUUGCUGUCACUUAUAGAUGGAUCCGCGCCGCAUUAGCUAGUUGGCAAGGUAACGGCUUACCAAGGCAACGAUGCGUAGCCGACCUGAGAGGGUGAUCGGCCACACUGUAACUUAGACACGGUCCAGACACCUGCGGGAAGCACCAGUAGGGAAUCUGCCGCAAUGGGCGAAGUCCUGACGAAGCAACGCCGCGUGAAGGAUGAAGGUCUUCGGGUCGUAAAACUCUGUUAUUAGAGAAGAACAAAUGUGUAAGUAACUAUGCACGUCUUGACGGUACCUAAUCAGAAAGCCACGGCUAACUACGUG